rfam:Triticum aestivum genome assembly, contig: Triticum_aestivum_CS42_TGACv1_scaffold_321593_4BL
AUAUUACUCCUUCAGUCCGAAAAUACUUGUCGGAUAAAUGAAUAAAAAUGAAUGUAUCUAGAAGUAAAAUACUAGAUACAUCCAUUCCCGACAAGUAUUUCCGGACGGAGGAAUCACAUA